rnacentral:rRNA from 1 species
UACGGGGGGAGCAAGCGUUGUUCGGAUUUACUGGGCGUAAAGGGCGCGUAGGCGGCCACCGCAAGUCGACUGUGAAAUCUCCGGGCUUAACCCGGAAAGGUCAGCCGAUACUGCGGGGCUAGAGUGCAGAAGGGGCAACUGGAAUUCUCGGUGUAGCGGUGAAAUUCGUAGAUAUCGGGAGGAACACCGGUGGCGAAGGCGGCGACCUGGGACGAUACUGACGCUGAGGUGCGAAAGCGUGGGGAGCAAACAGG